GGAAUAUUUUAAUCUUUCUUGGAAAAUUGAAAUGAUAUAGAGAAGAUUAGUCUGAUUCCUACAUAAGGAUGAUACCAAGGUCGUUAAAAUCUCAUUUU